rfam:Picea glauca, whole genome shotgun sequence.
ACAUGCCUACAACAUAUCAUUAAUGCAUCAGAUCCCAUUAGAACUUUGUAGUUAAGGACGCUCAGGAUAGAGUAGUAUUGGGAUGGGUGACCGCCCGAUAAGUCCUAGUGUUUUACAUGCC